UACGUAGGGUGCAAGCGUUAAUCGGAAUUACUGGGCGUAAAGCGUGCGCAGGCGGUUGUGCAAGGCAGCUGUGAAAUCCCCGGGCUCAACCUGGGAACUGCAUUUGUGACUGCACGGCUGGAGUGCGGCAGAGGGGGAUGGAAUUCCGCGUGUAGCAGUGAAAUGCGUAGAUAUGCGGAGGAACACCGAUGGCGAAGGCAAUCCCCUGGGCCUGCACUGACGCUCAUGCACGAAAGCGUGGGGAGCAAACAGG
rnacentral:rRNA from 1 species